rnacentral:misc_RNA from 1 species
UAAAGGUGCAUGAGUGGUGUUUGGUUUGAUACGGGUGGUCGGCUCCCUGCUUGAGCAGGCACGGCCACGCGUGCAUUCCUCUUCAGUUGUGCGGCAAGGCUUGUAUCGUCUUGAUCGUAUAAGUGGGUUUCUUGUGUUGCAUACCUGAUCAAUGGCAUCGUUUUGAUCAAAAGCGUACCUUUUUCGUCUACCGAUGCACUUGUUGCAUUGUCGGAUGAACCGUAUAGCAUCUUCUUUGAUCCAUUCAGUUGACGUGUAUUCGUUGAUUGUUUGGCCCGUUGAGGGUGGCUUGGUCUCUCGGAUAUGGAAGCCAAAGUGGGCAUGGGUUCGCAAGAUCCCUUUAUUGCCCUCAUUGAGCGUUCUCGCUUCUCUUACACGACCGCCUUUCACGUAUGGCACGUCCCAGCGUGUUUGGCUAUGUCGAAGAGGAAUGCUACCUGGUUGAUCCUGCC